CUCGGGGAUUUCACAUCCGACUUAAUAAGCCGCCUACGCACGCUUUACGCCCAGUAAAUCCGAUUAACGCUCGCACCCUCUGUAUUACCGCGGCUGCUGGCACAGAGUUAGCCGGUGCUUAUUCUGCGAGUAACGUCCACUAUCUCUAGGUAUUAACUAAAGUAGCCUCCUCCUCGCUUAAAGUGCUUUACAACCAUAAGGCCUUCUUCACACACGCGGCAUGGCUGGAUCAGGGUUCCCCCCAUUGUCCAAUAUUCCCCACUGCUGCCUCCCGUAGGAGUCUGGGCCGUGUCUCAGUCCCAGUGUGGCGGAUCAUCCUCUCAGACCCGCUACAGAUCG
rnacentral:rRNA from 1 species